GUUCCUUUAGUGUAGGUAUGGGAAAUUUCUUCAAAAAUCAACAAUAUUCUUGUCUGGAACACUGAAUUAUUUUCUAGAAUGCAGAUGCAUUGUCGACUUAUAUGAGUGCUCGUCCUGGAAGGAAACAGAUGGUGCCCUGAACGGGGAUAACCGAGGAGAGUUUAUUAUAGGGAGCAUUUACAAGGGUGUGAGCAGGGUUAAGGAGACCCAGAAGAGUUGGUGCAGCAUCCGGGGGCUGGCAACACAGAGGAGCCAUUACCUCCCCUCAGUUUAAAGGGGAGGGAAGAGCCUGGAGAGAGUAGCUGUGGUUGUCAGAGAAGCACUAGGCAGGGCAGGAUGCAGCCAACCCUCAGAAGGUAAUACUCUGGUGUCCUCAUCUCUUCCACCUCAGGGUGCAGGGUAGAAUUGCUACACUAUCUCCCAUGGGUCUCAUGGUAAAGCAAUAACGUCUAAACAGGAAGCC
rnacentral:lncRNA from 1 species